GACGAACGCUGGCGGCGUGCUUAACACAUGCAAGUCGAACGGAAAGGCCCUGCUUUUGUGGGGUGCUCGAGUGGCGAACGGGUGAGUAACACGUGAGUAACCUGCCCUUGACUUUCGGAUAACUUCAGGAAACUGGGGCUAAUCCCGGAUAGGAGCUCCUGCUGCAUGGUGGGGGUUGGAAAGUUUCGGCGGUUGGGGAUGGAUCCGCGGCUUAUCAGCUUGUUGGUGGGGUAGUGGCUUACCAAGGCUUUGACGGGUAGCCGGCCGGAGAGGGUGACCGGCCACAGAGGACUGCGGGAAGCGCCCGGGCGCAGUAGGGGGGAACGGGUGGGAAUUGUGGCCAAAUGGGCGGAGGGCUGGAGGAGCGCCCACGGGUGGGGGAGGCCGGCUUUGGGGGUGGAAACGGUUUUGGGCUGUAACAAGGGGUGAGGAAGGGAACUGGGGAAAAAAGCACGGGUAAAUUAGGG
rnacentral:rRNA from 1 species